rnacentral:rRNA from 1 species
UACAGAGGGUGCGAGCGUUAAUCGGAAUUACUGGGCGUAAAGCGUGCGUAGACGGUUGUCUAAGUCGGAUGUGAAAUCCCCGGGCUCAACCUGGGAAUUGCAUUCGAGACUGAACAGCUAGGGUGCGGAAGAGGAAGCGGAAUUUCCGGUGUAGCAGUGAAAUGCGUAGAUAUCGGAAGAACAUCAGUGCGAAAGCGGCUUCCUGGUCCAGCACCGACGUUCAGGCACGAAGCGUGGGAAGC